rnacentral:lncRNA from 1 species
CCAGAAGGCCUCAAGGUGAAGGAGCAGGCCAAAAGGGCUCAAGGUGAAGGAGCAGGCCGGAAGGCCUCACAUAGAGGCAUCGCAGCCUCAGGUCAACAGGCCAGGGAGAGGGUCUCACGCCACAUGCAGGCGAAAAACCUCAGGCCAGCAAGAAAGCCACACGUAUGUGAGCUUCAGGGAAAGCCUUCAGCAGUGAGAGCUUCGGAACAGGAAGUCACUAGGUGCAACGGUGAACUUUAGGGAGAGGCACUGCAGCCUCAGUAGCUCUGUGUGAACGAGUUAUCCCUCCGUGAUCGAGAAGGGAAGAAAAUAGAAUAGCUGAGUGUAUGCUUGUAUUAAUGUGUUUGAAUGUGUUAUUGUAUCAGCUAGUUUGAUUUGAGUAUUUUAAUGAUUUUGCAUAUUUUAUAAGUUGCGCACUCUACAAUUAAUAUCAAAACAAUUGGUUCCAAAUCGUUUUGGUUCCAACACGAUGCCCGAGAGGACCAUGGACCUAUGAUCAUCCUUGGCGGCGCCGACGCCAAGCAUCAAUGACGUGGUCGAGAGCAGCCCGUCGUUAGCCCCAAGAAUGGCAGCCUGGAGCCACUGAGCUCGCUGCAGCAGCUCGUUACCCGAAGCGUCGGCGGUCUCGGCCUUCUCCCCUGCUCUCGACGGAGGCUGGUUCUACAUGAGGAAUCCCCAAGGUCGCAAGAUCGCAAAGCGUCCGAGUGGAUGGAGAGCGUGGCAUGCUUAUCAAAUCCACACGCCGAGCGCGUGGAGGCUAUAUAAACAACACAUGGGUUUCGAGAAGAAGAUGCAAAAUACAGAAUCUUUGAUUAGGUGAUGA